GGUCGCUUCCAACUUCCUCCCCGUUUGGAGCCAUAGUGAUAUACUGGGAGUGGCCAAAUGCUAACAACAUCUUUGGCCUUUUUGCGUGACUUAGUGUACGCACAAAGACCAGACAGGUACACAUCAACUCGUCUAAGCUCAAGUAAGAACAUAUGUCAGUACUGUAUGUAAAAUACGGUGGCCUGUUCCUUUAAAGACCCGUUAGCCGAGUUCUAGUUUAGAGCAGACAUUGCAGAGACUUGGUUUAGUUUCAGCUGCUUAUAUCUGUCUUAGAUUUAGGUCACUGUGGUUUGUUUGGGUAUCACUGUGGUGUGCCAGCUGCUUCAGGUAGUACUCAAGUCUCAAAGUCUUGAAUUAAUGUUUACUUAGGGAAUUGUAUUUAAGUCCUUGUCCCUCUUGUCUGUUCCGUCUUGAUUUGGACCUGGUUUGGCCGCACUUUAUACCUGGUUCAACCCAAGUUUUGAUCUGGAAUAGGGCCUGGUUUAGGUCGGGUGCUACUGAGAGUGGCAAAAACAUUCUCUUUAAAGAUACUUGGUGUGAAAGGUUUGAGAAGCACAGUGUUUGGUAAGCUUUAUUGUAUUCUUUUAUACUGAAUGCGUUUUCUAUGCAGCAGCGGGCUUUCACUUUCUUUACAGUGCGUGGGCCCCAGUGGAGACCACCUCAGGAAACUUAGCUGGCAGCUGGGGGAAGUUCCAGGUGGGUGGAGUUAACCAAAGAGGCAGAUAAGCGCUGUCUUAUCUUGAAUAGUUCAAUUGCUACAGGGAGAAGAUUGCAUGGCGCAAGUUAGUACAGUAAAUUAGUAAAUGCUUACCUUAGGUGCUUUCUGAUUUGAAGAGUUACUAUGAAGUGGCUGAAGCUUGACGAUUCCAUCAGUCGUUUUCGAUUCGCUCAGUCGUGUGUAGGUCUAGCGGGCUGCCUAUGCGUCUCCUACGCCAUUUGGACCCCAUUCUGGCUGAAGGGACGGGGACUGUGGACGACACCGGAGCGGAACACCGGCAGAACUGACCUGACAAAUAGCAACGAUGGCAGCGUCUUCAACGCACUGGAAGCAGUGCAGGUGUUUGCAGUGCUGUCCUUCCUGAUGGCUGUGAGCACUGCUGCCCUGUGUCUGGUGUUCGCCCUCUGCUGGACAUCUGAGACCGUGCGCUCUUACUCCAACACUCGCUCCCUCCUGAUGGCGGGACAAGCUCUGUACCCCACCACGCUACUGCUGCUUACUAUGAUCUCCACAGGCUUCUUCUUUCUCUUCAGCUGGUCUUCGUUCACCUUCCACCAUCGGGAGGAAAUCCGCAAAGAUUUCUCCGCUCUGGGCUCUUCAUACUGGAUCGGGGCAUUGGGCUGGUUCCUUCUCAUGGUCGCGGAGACGAUUGUGUUUUUGGCCGAGCAGAUGAUUGUACCAGACAUUAUUACGGAUCUGGAGAGGUCUGUGGAGGUGUGGCGCGUAGCCUCUUCUCACGUCAAGUCCAGCCAGCGCUCCUUCAGUGACGGUUAUUACCCCCGGGCCAAGAGCAAACUGAUCCCAAAGCGAUACAUGUCAGAUCCCUGAAUAGACUCGAGUAAAUGGGCUCUGUACUGAUAAAGUGAAACUGGAGAGUGAGGAAGUCUACUCCAAAGGAAAGCAGGCACCUUAUCACUGUGAGUUACAGACUGAAGAUUGGUCAAAUGGGUUAAGGCGAGAAUGAAUAGGCUGUUAAAGUGCCGGGUUUAUGAGACUGGCGGCUUGCCUGUUUGUCACUUCGAGAACUUCCAAACACUGCGAACACUGUGCUGUUCCUGCACGUUUACUUGAUUUCUUUUUUUUAUUACAUUUUUUAUCUUUAAGUGUCUCAAACAUGUCCAAGUUUGAUAUUCUUAACCACAAAGAUCAGUGGUUUUCAGAAAUUAGUGAACGUUUUGUUGUAUUUGUGCCGCUGGCAGCUUUUGGAAAUGGCAGUGCAUACCAGAUGCUCUCUGCCAAGUCAAACCAAGUGUAAGCCUCAUUUAUAUUACUUGGUUUUGUUGCCAUAAUUGAGGGACUUAUAUAAGUGCCAUGUAACUAUGCAUAAUACUGAAUGACUCUAUCAAAUGAGUCGUAUAAGCUUUAGUACAUACAGCUUUCCCUCAGGUGUAUGCUACUCUACCUUUAUGAAAUCCUACACGUUUCUUAACCUCUCAACACCCGCCUUAACCAAGUGCAUUUUGUCCAGUUUAGCUUUACCCAAAUCUAAAAGCUUACAGCCUAUAGGCCAGUGUGAUGCCUCAUUUGAAAGCUUAGACCUACAAAACUCAUUUAAACUCGCUCGUUUUUUUUUCAAGAAGCUUUUAGAUUUGUGUAAAGCCAAACUGGAGAAAAUGUGUUCAGUUCAGGUGGGGGUUAAGAGGUUAAAGUUACCUAACCGCGUCUGUAUUAAAAACACCAUUGUACAUAUAAGCAUUAACAGCACGCACACUACUCUGUAACUAUGAUUCUUUUAAUAAAGACAAUGCGACAAUCUGUU
ensembl:lncRNA